rnacentral:rRNA from 1 species
UACAGAGGUCCCAAGCGUUGUUCGGAUUCACUGGGCGUAAAGGGUGCGUAGGUGGUCAGGUAAGUCGGAUGUGAAAUCUCCGAGCUCAACUCGGAAACUGCAUUGGAAACUACCUGGCUCGAGGGUUGGAGGGGGGACUGGAAUGCUUGGUGUAGCAGUGAAAUGCGUAGAUAUCGUCUGGAACGCCAAAGGUGAAAACAGCUCGCUGGGGUUGUGCUGACGCUGAGACACGAAAGCCAGGGGAGCGAACGGG